AUCUGGAAGAAGCCCCAAAUUUUGAAUUCUCAAUCUUCCAACAUUAAUGUAUCAUGACCCAAGUUCAUAUUUUUUCAAAUGACAAACUGAUUAAUAGUAGGAGCAUGGCUUCCAAAAAAAGAGAUAAAUACCGGUUGACAAUUCCAUCUAGCCACAAGCAAAAAUCAGAAAAAUUUACAAACAAUCUUUUCUCUGCUCCAUUUUUACCUUCUUAUUUUUCUGUUUUGGGCAACUGCCCAGCACCACCACGACGCCACCGCACAAACCUCCAGCAGUCCAGCCAGAUUUCAAACUUGCCAACCUCCACGCAGAAGCCUCACCGCAACAACUCCCCCGCCUUCCACCGCCAGCCUAGCCACCGAACAUUCUGUAUCACCACACCACCACCUACGACCCACCCUCGCUCGCACACCCAUUCGCAGCAUCCUUCUCUCUCCUCGACCCACCUGCACGAACCUCCACCUGAACGAACCACCUUCGACGAACCACCCUGACACCUUCAAUCUCGCCGCUGCAGCCUCCUUAUCCGGUGUCGUGCGUCUCGUCGCACUUCCUUUGUCCUUGCCGCAAGAUUAAGGGAAAAAGGAUAUUACAAGCCUCCUCCGACUAUCAAAGUUACUAAGCAGGAUUUGAGGUAACAACGGGGAUGACGGAAUGGCAUAGCAGUGAGGAAUAAUUACUAUUUAAAUUAUGUAGAACUCUUAUUAUUAUGUAUUCUAACUUAAGAACAUUAGUUUAUGAACGUUAACUAUGUUUCACCUAGUUAUUUAUGCAUUUCUAAGUUAGUUAUGAAGUUUAAUAUUUAUAAUGUUAUGUUCUUUAAUUAA